rnacentral:rRNA from 1 species
CUAACACAUGCAAGUCGAACGAGCGAGAGAGAGCUUGCUUUCUCGAGCGAGUGGCGAACGGGUGAGUAACGCGUGAGGAACCUGCCUCAAAGAGGGGGACAACAGUUGGAAACGACUGCUAAUACCGCAUAAGCCCACGGUGCCGCAUGGCACAGAGGGAAAAGGAGUAAUCCGCUUUGAGAUGGCCUCGCGUCCGAUUAGCUAGUUGGUGAGGUAAUGGCCCACCAAGGCGACGAUCGGUAGCCGGACUGAGAGGUUGAACGGCCACAUUGGGACUGAGACACGGCCCAGACUCCUACGGGAGGCAGCAGUGGGGAAUAUUGCACAAUGGGGGAAACCCUGAUGCAGCGACGCCGCGUGGAGGAAGAAGGUCUUCGGAUUGUAAACUCCUGUUGUUGGGGAAGAUAAUGACGGUACCCAACAAGGAAGUGACGGCUAACUACGUGCCAGCAGCCGCGGUAAAACGUAGGUCACAAGCGUUGUCCGGAAUUACUGGGUGUAAAGGGAGCGCAGGCGGGAAGACAAGUUGGAAGUGAAAUCUAUGGGCUCAACCCAUAAACUGCUUUCAAAACUGUUUUUCUUGAGUAGUGCAGAGGUAGGCGGAAUUCCCGGUGUAGCGGUGGAAUGCGUAGAUAUCGGGAGGAACACCAGUGGCGAAGGCGGCCUACUGGGCACCAACUGACGCUGAGGCUCGAAAGUGUGGGUAGCAAACAGGAUUAGAUACCCUGGUAGUCCACACCGUAAACGAUGAUAUACGAGGUGUUGGAGAUUGGACCCCUUCCAGUGCCGCAGUUAACCACAAUAGUAAUCCACCUGGGGAGUACGACCCGCAAGGUUGAAACUCAAAGGAAUUGACGGGGGCCCGCACAAGCAGUGGAGUAUGUGGUUUAAUUCGCCGCAACGCGAAGAACCUUACCAAGUCUUGACAUCCCUUGACAGGCAUAGAAAUAUGUAAUCUCUUCGGAGCAAGGAGACAGGUGGUGCAUGGUUGUCGUCAGCUCGUGUCGUGAGAUGUUGGGUUAAGUCCCGCAACGAGCGCAACCCUUAUGGUCAGUUACUACGCAAGAGGACUCUGGCCAGACUGCCGUUGACAAAACGGAGGAAGGUGGGGAUGACGUCAAAUCAUCAUGCCCUUUAUGACUUGGGCUACACACGUACUACAAUGGCGUUAAACAAAGAGAAGCAAGACCGCGAGGUGGAGCAAAACUCAGAAACAACGUCCCAGUUCGGACUGCAGGCUGCAACUCGCCUGCACGAAGUCGGAAUUGCUAGUAAUCGUGGAUCAGCAUGCCACGGUGAAU